rnacentral:rRNA from 1 species
UACGUAGGUCCCGAGCGUUGUCCGGAUUUAUUGGGCGUAAAGCGAGCGCAGGUGGUUUAAUAAGUCUGAUGUAAAAGGCAGUGGCUCAACCAUUGUGUGCAUUGGAAACUGUUAGACUUGAGUGCAGGAGAGGAGAGUGGAAUUCCAUGUGUAGCGGUGAAAUGCGUAGAUAUAUGGAGGAACACCGGUGGCGAAAGCGGCUCUCUGGACUGUAACUGACACUGAGGCUCGAAAGCGUGGGUAGCAAACAGG